rnacentral:rRNA from 1 species
CUCUUGUAAACUAAACAUAAGAGGUCCCGCCUGCCCGGUGACCCUGGGUUAAACGGCCGCGGUAUUUUAACCGUGCGAAGGUAGCGCAAUCACUUGUCCUUUAAAUGAAGACCUGUAUGAAUGGCUAGACGAGGGCUUAGCUGUCUCCUCCCCCCGGUCAAUGAAAUUGAUCUCCCCGUGCAGAAGCGGGGAUACUUACAU